CACUACAGCAUUACCACAUUGUGUGUCAACUGUCCCUUGCUCAACGCAUUGAUUGCUGCAUGAAUAGCGAUGGGUGUUCUGCUGCCACGCCAGGCACAGGGUAUUAGACAUCAGAGUCUGCUGUGGCUGCCUGUUGCCAGAAAGCAGUCAAUGCUUUGGAGCUAUCUCAAAGAGGAAGCAGGACAAAACAAUAUUUCCUGCUACAGUCAGUGUAGUCAAACAGUCUGUGAGUAGGGCUUAAAAUAUCAGUUUUUACAUGCUGCUUGUUCCAGGUGUCUCAGCUGCAUACAUCAACAUGGCACAACUGCAACAGCAUACAAUUUCCGCACAACAUCAAGAGUUUUGACUGUAGGAACUCAGUUACAAGUGUACUUCACUAUGAGUGAAUGCACUGUGGGUUGAAUAAGAAACAAAGUUAACAUUUGUGUGUGGAAGGACAAUAAACACAAGGUGCUAGGGGAUAGUGGACACCCUUACACAUCGAGGGGAAAUGGUCCUGUUCUUGGAAAACUGCUACAUAAGGGGGUGUAUUGUGGGAAGUACUUACCAGCUUCACUAUGAGCUAUCACAACUCCAAGUUCAUUUUCAGCAGUUGACAGUUGAUACGAGUGAAUGUCUGUCAUUGGUAGCUGCAGGAGUAAUUAAUCAAG